UAACGGACAGAACCCGUGAAUCCGGGCGAUAGAAUUCAAAAUUGGUGGCAACGCGAGUUGUCGCUGGUUUGAUAUUUCUGUCGCCGUGUACGGACGUCGCGACCCGUUUGGUGUCGGUCUUAGGAGACGUGUGAAAGUUCGUUGGCACUGUCGACUUGCUCGGCAGCGUUGCGAGUACACGUUUUUUUCUGGCCGACUCGCCAGACGGUACGAAUAGGUGACUGUGAUGGCCUYCAGUGUCGUCACAGUGCCGGUCUGCGACGAAUCUUC
rnacentral:rRNA from 1 species